GGUAAAUUUGAACGUUACCACAUGUCGACGCGACGCAGACGCCAUCUUGCUUUUCACACACAUCAGCUCGUCCUAAAUACACGAAAAAAAAGACCCAUAUUUUUGCGCCAGGCGUGUAGUUCGUCGUUUCGUUACCUCGGCUAAGGUAACAAGAUGCCUGAAAACAGCACAAAACCUCGUUCUCGGAAUUCUGAUUCGUUCUCCAAGGAGCGUGGCGAUUCUCGCGGCGAUAGAGGUGGUGGAAGAAACUACACCAGAAACAACGGCGCCGGGUAUAGCUCGAUGAAAGAGAGAAAGUUUACUGGGAGAUGCCGUCUCUUUGUUGGGAAUCUUAUUGACUGUGAUGAAGAAGAAAUGAAGGAAAUGUUCAAGAAGUACGGAGAAGUUGCUGAAGUCUUCAUCAACAAGGAGAAAGGGUUCGGAUUUAUUCGAUUGGACACAAGACUUCAUGCAGAAGCUGCCAAAGCGGGCCUGGACAUGGCCACUCGCAAGGGCCGUACACUGAGAGUUCGCUUUGCUACACAUGCUGCAGCACUUAGGGUGAAAAACCUGGAUAAUUUAGUGACAAAUGAGCUGUUGGAGCAGGCAUUCUCUCAGUUUGGAGAUGUGGAGAGGGCUGUUGUUGUCUGCGAUGUUCGAGGACGCUCAAAGGGGCAUGGAAUUGUUGAGUUCUCAAGGAAAAAUAACGCACACAAUGCCAUGCAAAAGAUUUCUGAAAGUCUGUUUCUUCUUGGGAGAACUCCACGCCCAAUCAGUGUUGAACAGUAUGAACAAGAAGAUGAUGAAGAUGGUUUGGUUGAGAAAAGUGUUGAGCGUCAAACUGGUUAUCAAAAGGAGCGGGAAGUCCCACCCCAUUUUGCAACCCCAGGGACGUUUGAGUCUGAGUGGGCCCAGCGAUGGAAGGCAUUGGGAGAAUUAGAGACACAGCAGAGGGAAGCUCUUGAUAAGCAGUUCAAGGAGCAACGAGAGGCUUUAGAGGCAGAGAUGCAGACUGCCAUUCAAGAGCAUGAGGCAAUGCUUAUGAGACAAGAAAUCCAGCGACGUCAAGAGGAGCUGCAGCGGUUCGAGGAGAUGCAGCACCGUGAGGAGAUGAUGAGGCAAGAGAUGCUUCAACAGCAGGAAAUGGAGAUGAGGCGCAGAGAUGAGGAGAUGCGAAUGGAGGAGAUGCGGCGCCGUGAGGAAGCCAGGCACCACGAGGAGAUGAUGUUUAGAAAGAAGCAGGAAGAAAUGCGUAGACGAGACGAGAUGAUGCUAAGACCUCCCCUGGAUUCAAUGAGAGACAUGGGACCAGGAUUCCCACCUCGCGGAAUGCCACCUAAGGAGGAUUGGGGCCCAGGCCCACGUGGUAUGGGUCCAGGAAUGGGCCCCCCUCGUCCGAUGGGCCCACCUGGUCCUCAUGGUCCUCCCUUUGGUCCCCGUGGUCCACCCCCACAUGGAGGACCUCCACGUGGCCCCAUGGGACCUGGCCCUGGAAUGCCGCCAAUGAAUUGGUUGACUUUGCUGCCUGGUUAGAUGGUUAAGUUGGCAGUAUUCUUUUGAGCCUGCUUAGCAGCUUUUUUUAUUCAACAAAUAAUACCUAAUUAUCAAAAAGUGGGUAAGUCAACUGAUCUAAUCCACUGGAAUAGUGAUUCAAUUGAAUAGUCUUUUAAUUAAUCACCUUAAAAAUACUAUUGAUUGCAGUUGAAAUGUAGUGAUCCAUUCAAUGUUUGGCUUUAAAUUAAUGUCUCCUGCUACCCCAGUCCAAGAAAGACUAUAAACCUUACCAAUGCCAAUUAACUCUUGCAUUGAAGCUUGCAGAUAUUGCCUAUUGUUCACGAUUUAAAACUCGGAUGGAAAUUUAGUUGAAUAAUGUGAAAAUUAGAUUAUAUAGACUUGGAAAAUAUUUUUUUUGAAUAAGUUGAAAUUCUCUUUGUCAGAAAUUUAGUGAAGAUACAAACAACACUGUUUUUUUUUUAUUUAUUUUAUAAUUUGUUUUUUUAAAAGCGAACCUCAUAAAGAACAUUAUCUGGGAUUUAAAUUUUUUGACAAAGCAUAAUACUAAGUUCACUUUCAAGUUUAGUGAAGUUUCUGCUGUGAAUUUUUCAGUAGUGUAUUUUGAUUAGAUUCGGCACCAUAUCUGUCAAGCUUAAAAACUGCUUUAAACUUCGCAUUCUGAGCAAUGCACACCAAAGAAUGUCACAGAACUACUCAGAAGACUUUCCAGAUGCCCAUCCGGUGCAGUAAGUACAAAGAUAGCUGUAAUAGUCAACAACCUGUGUAUAAUACUUCAUCUGAAGAUAUAGCGGUAUUCACUGAAACAAUGUGGAAACAAAUAUAACAAUAUAUGCUUGAUAUCCUUGUCACUCUUUCUAGUACAAGGUUACAGUAGUCUACAAUGCCAGUGAUGUAUGAUGGGACAUAUUGGUUUUAUUUGCAGUCAACUCUCAAAGUAGCUAAAACAUACUCACUUUCAAGUAUUGCAUAUCAAGUAUUGCAUAUAUACUCACUUUAAGUAUUGCAUAUCAUCCAAAUGUUAUUACAAUAGAUGCAAAGUCACGUUUGGUAUUGCAUAUCAUCCAAAUGUUAUUACAAUAGAUGCAAAGGCAAGUUUGGUAAAUAAUUUAAAGUGACCUGUAUUGAAACAAUAUUUAUAUCCAUCAAUCAUUGCCUUUAUUUCUUUAUUUCUCCUAGUCACUUUUAAAAGUAAAAUCUGUUUUCUUUUUAGUGAAAAUUUAACACUUUUGCAACUUGUUGUAUUUGAAAUAGAUAAAAUACAAUUUGUUAUACAUUAGAACCCUUUUUAAAUUGAACACAGCAAACUUUAACUCCCUGUUAAAGCAAUUCGAAAAUAAUGCUUAAUUAAUAUACACAAAGUCUGACUAACAAAAUGGGAUGUAUAAAUCAGCCUUUAUCUUAUUUUUAGGUAAUGCCAUUUGAAUUGUGAACAUCAUAAAUAACUUUUUUGACAUUAAUCAUGCCAAUUUGCCUGGAAAUCCUGUUGAUAUUGCUACCAUUUUAAUUUGCCAAUGAGGGUAAAAAGAGUUAAAAUCUUGUUUUUUCUAGUUCGCUGAUCUAUUUGACAGGAUACUAUCAUAUAUUAUUCUAUGUCAGCAAUUAAAUUAUUUUCAUGAGAGUUGACUGCUUUAUGCCCAUCAUACACUGGCUGGUGACCAACAUAGAGACCCAUAGAAUGAUAGCAAAUAAAGUGUACUCGAUACAAUAUAGAAAUUCUUGACACAGAAGAGAAUUCUUCAAAUAAUCACUACUUCAUCAUGAGGAAAUUCUUAAUUCAAACAGCAGGCGAUAUUUUGUCAGUAUCCUGAUUUACACCUUCAUGGAUAAGGAUUAAAGUAGCUAUACAAUGAGUUGACUACUAUUUAAUUUAUGGAAUGCUUCAUUUAUUGUGUCUAGUUGAUAUAUUAUUGGGAUCUUUGAUACAUGCUCUAACGUAUGUCUUUUUUUGACUGGCAUAUGUUUUUGUUUCUUUUCAGCAGGUUUUCUGUAUAAGAUGACACUGGGAUUGAGGGUUAUUAAUUUGAGCAAGUUGGCAAUUGACGCUACAGAAGUGUACAGGCCAUAUAGCCAGUCAAAAAGUGAACAAGUUGGCAACAAUUGACGCUACAGAAGUGUACAGGCCAUAUAGCCAGUCAAAAAGUGAACAAGUUGGCAACAAUUGACGCUUCAGAAGUGUACAGGCCAUAUAGCCAGUCAAAAAGACCUUGGUAUUAACGGAGAGCGGGAGUAGACAGCUCACUCAAUGCCACGGGGAAAACCAAGCGCCACCUUAAACAACUCAACAGACAUGUUAGUGCCGUGGUUCAGCGACGAAGCAAUGUUGAAAGAAGCAUUUAAAUAAAACGCUAAGGAGCCCUGAAUGCCUGGAAUAAAUGAUAUUUUUUUCCAAAA